AUUGAACGCUGGCGGCAUGCUUUACACAUGCAAGUCGAACGGUAACAGGCCGCAAGGUGCUGACGAGUGGCGAACGGGUGAGUAAUGCAUCGGAACGUGCCCAGUCGUGGGGGAUAACGCAGCGAAAGCUGCGCUAAUACCGCAUACGAUCUAUGGAUGAAAGCGGGGGACCGAAAGGCCUCGCCCGAUUGGAGCGGCCGAUGUCAGAUUAGGUAGUUGGUGGGGUAAAGGCCCACCAAGCCAACGAUCUGUAGCUGGUCUGAGAGGACGACCAGCCACACUGGGACUGAGACACGGCCCAGACUCCUACGGGAGGCAGCAGUGGGGAAUUUUGGACAAUGGGCGCAAGCCUGAUCCAGCAAUGCCGCGUGCAGGAAGAAGGCCUUCGGGUUGUAAACUGCUUUUGUACGGAACGAAACGGUCCGGGUUAAUACCCUGGGCUAAUGACGGUACCGUAAGAAUAAGCACCGGCUAACUACAUGCCAGCCGCCGCUGUAACAC
rnacentral:rRNA from 1 species